CGACGGGGGGAUCCCAAGUGCCAUUCUUAACGGGAUGGCUUUUCUUAAGUGUAAAAAGCUUUUGGAAUAAGAGCUGGGCAAGACCGGUGCCAGCCGCCGCGGUAACACCGGCAGCUCUAGUGGUAGCUGUUUUUAUUGGGCCUAAAGCGUUCGUAGCCGGUUUGGUAAGUCACUGGUGAAAUCCUGUAGCUUAACUGUGGGAAUUGCUGGUGAUACUGUUGAACUUGAGGUCGGGAGAGGUUAGCGGUACUCCCAGGGUAGAGGUGAAAUUCUGUAAUCCUGGGAGGACCACCUGUGGCGAAGGCGGCUAACUGGAACGAACCUGACGGUGAGGGACGAAAGCUAGGGGCGCGAACCGGAUUAGAUACCCGGGUAGUCCUAGCCGUAAACGAUGCGGACUUGGUGUUGGGAUGGCUUUGAGCCGCUCCGGUGCCGAAGGGAAGCUGUUAAGUCCGCCGCCUGGGAAGUACGGUCGCAAGACUGAAACUUAA
rnacentral:rRNA from 1 species